rnacentral:snRNA from 1 species
GAAUGUGGAGGCAAUCUGACUGCAGCAUCGUCAUCCCAUUGAUCGCCAGGGUUGAUUCGCCUGACCUGGCUGGCGAGGCAGGUGUCCCCUUCCUCCCUCACUGCUCCAUGUGCGUCCCUCCCAAUGCUGCCCACUCCAUCAAAGAAGAUGACCUCCCCAAAUAGACAAGGGCUAGUCUUUGGUCAAGAGUAUGCAAGUAAUUGUGCGCCUCUGCUAGAACCUCCAAACAAGCUCUCAAGAGGUACACACCUGUGCAAUAGUGGAACGCAGCCUCUGAGGGUACCCAACUGUUCUCUGAUUAGACAGGAGAUUCAG